UGUUGCAAAUUCUUAGGCACGAUCUUGUGGCAGAAACUGGGUAGUUGGUGAACUCGCUACACGGUUUGUCACAAGAUCGUGUCUGUGAAUAUGCAAAGG
rnacentral:pre_miRNA from 13 species